UGUACACACCGCCCGUCACACCAUGGGAGUGGGUUUCACCAGAAGUAGGUAGCCUAACCGUAAGGAGGGCGCUUACCACGGUGGGAUUCAUGACUGGGGUGAAGUCGUAACAAGGUAGCCGUAUCGGAAGGUGCGGCUGGAUCACCUCCU
rnacentral:rRNA from 1 species